AACGAACGCUGGCGGCAGGCCUAACACAUGCAAGUCGAACGCCGUAGCAAUACGGAGUGGCAGACGGGUGAGUAACACGUGGGGACGUACCCUUCGGUUCGGAAUAACUCAGGGGAAACUUGAGCUAAUACCGGAUACGUCCGAGAGGAGAAAGAUUUAUCGCCGAGGGAUCGGCCCGCGUCUGAUUAGCUUGUUGGUGAGGUAACGGCUCACCAAGGCGACGAUCAGUAGCUGGUCGAGAGGAUGAUCAGCCACAUUGGGACUGAGACACGGCCCAAACUCCUACGGGAGGCAGCAGUGGGGAAUAUUGGACAAUGGGCGCAAGCCUGAUCCAGCCAUGCCGCGUGAGUGAUGAAGGCCCUAGGGUUGUAAAGCUCUUUCGCACGCGACGAUGAUGACGGUAGCGUGAGAAGAAGCCCCGGCUAACUUCGUGCCAGCAGCCGCGGUAAU
rnacentral:rRNA from 1 species